CUUAGGUUCUUCUGCAGCAAUGAC
rnacentral:siRNA from 1 species